rnacentral:rRNA from 1 species
UACGUAGGUGGCAAGCGUUGUCCGGAAUUAUUGGGCGUAAAGCGCGCGCAGGCGGUCCUUUAAGUCUGAUGUGAAAGCCCACGGCUCAACCGUGGAGGGUCAUUGGAAACUGGGGGACUUGAGUGCAGAAGAGGAAAGUGGAAUUCUCGGUGUAGCGGUGAAAUGCGUAGAUAUCGAGAGGAACACCUGCGGCGAAGGCGGGUUGCUGGGCCGACACUGACGCUGAUGCGCGAAAGCCAGGGGAGCGAACGGG